rnacentral:tRNA from 1 species
GAGGUUGUGGCUCAGUAGUAGAGCGCUUGCCUACCACAUGAGAGGCAUUGGGUUCAAUCCUCAGCACCACA